GAAAAGAAGGGGAUUUAAAAAAAAACAAUUUAAAAAAGGAAAAUAUCUAUAAACAAAGAGAAAACUAAGUAUUAGGGGCAAAUAGUUCAUCAGAAUUGUUAAAAAUAUGUGAGUUUCUUAUCUUGAUUCUUCUUCGUUUCAGUUCCAUGUUGUUAGAGGAUGAAGUUUUGUUUUGACGUCUCUUGGAAGUAGAUUCGGAAGAGUUGGAAGUUUUAUCAAGACCAAGAAGUUUUCUAACCGCCAUUUCACCUUUUGUAGUACGAAUAAUAUCUUCCAAAUUCAUUCCUUUUUUGCUUAUCAAAGAUUUCCACAUUUCCUUAAUAUCAUCAUCCAUCUUAAUUUCUUCUAUUCCUACAUUCUCAGUUAAGGGAUAAAGAACUACUCCUUUUAAAGAAGAACAAGCUUCACAGGGUCUUUGAGAUGAUAACGGACAACCAGUUCCUGUUGAAGAACCUGUACUCGCAAGUCCUCCAUUUUUGCAUCUUAUUCUACCUGCUGUUUGCUGUUGUCUUAGGCACCUAACUGCUUUUUUGCACAUCAAGUUCCGAAUCCAUCUCUCCAUACUGGAAUUUGUCUAGGAAUUAAGUUAAGUUCAAACUCGAUCAAUAUUGUUAGUUUUAAUAUAACUUACCUUCAAUAGUUCUUCAUCAAUUAAAAGACCAUCUUGAUGUUGCCUCACGAAUGCUAAUAGAGAAAUCUCACUAUUCAGCUUAUCAUAUGGAGAUUUAUAACUAUAUUUACCUGUCGCCUGGUCCAAAAAUAUUCUGUCAUGUAGAUGAAUUUUUGUCCAAAAAUCGCUUUCUAGAGAUAUUUGUACUCCAUCCUUGCAAAGUAUGUUGUGAAUCUCCUUCCUUCUUAAUGGAACUGUGUUUGACUGCAGAAUAUUCAGUACCUUAUGUAUUAAAUAUGAAAAUGGUUUCUCUUCAUUUGACAUUUAAUUUCUUAUUUUACUCAACAAAUCUCUUUUUCCUUUAGAUAAAUUGUUUUAAGUAGAUUUUGGCGGGUUUUUUUAAAUAAUUUUGGCAUAACCCAAUAUUUUUAUUCGAAAUAACAAUCCUGGAAUAAACAAUUGACAACAGAAUAUGCAAAUAUUAAUGCAUUUUGAUCGAUCUUAGUUAGCAAUUGAUACUAUAAUUAAAUGUUUAUUGUUUUUUCAAGUUUGUGAAUAAAU
rnacentral:antisense_RNA from 1 species